rnacentral:rRNA from 1 species
AGAGUUUGAUCCUGGCUCAGAACGAACGCUGGCGGCAGGCCUAACACAUGCAAGUCGAACGAUGCCUUCGGGCAUAGUGGCGCACGGGUGAGUAACACGUGGGAACAUACCUUUUGGUGGGGGAUAACUUCGGGAAACUGAAGCUAAUACCGCAUACGCCCCUUGGGGGAAAGAUUUAUCGCCGAAAGAUUGGCCCGCGUCCGAUUAGCUAGUUGGUGAGGUAAUGGCUCACCAAGGCUCCGAUCGGUAGCUGGUCUGAGAGGAUGACCAGCCACACUGGGACUGAGACACGGCCCAGACUCCUACGGGAGGCAGCAGUGGGGAAUAUUGGACAAUGGGCGCAAGCCUGAUCCAGCCAUGCCGCGUGAGUGAUGAAGGCCUUAGGGUUGUAAAGCUCUUCACCCACGACGAUGAUGACGGUAGUGAGAGA